CCGGCGACCGGCGCACGGGUGAGUAACACGUAUGUAACCUGCCCUAUGCAGGGGGAUAACCCGGAGAAAUCCGGCCUAAUACCGCGUAACACCUUUUGGGAGCAUUCCCGGGAGGUUAAAGGAGAGAUCCGGCAUAGGAUGGACAUGCGUCGCAUUAGGUAGACGGCGGGGUAACGGCCCACCGUGCCGACGAUGCGUAGGGGUUCUGAGAGGAAGGCCCCCCACACUGGUACUGAGACACGGACCAGACUCCUACGGGAGGCAGCAG
rnacentral:rRNA from 1 species